UAAAAUUAAUUUUUAUUGAUGAUUAGUGAAAUGUGGUAAAAAAAAUAUUUUGAUCAAAUUUUGGUAAAUUAAUAAUUUAAGAAAUAUUAUUUAAAGGUAUAACUGAGAAGGUUAAUGUUAAAUUUUUUAAAAAGCUAUUUUUACCCAAAUUACCUUUUGUAUCAGGGAAUUUUAAAAAAUUUAAUUUUUUUUAUUUUCCCGAAUAAAAAUGAGCUAUAAAUUUUAAUAAUUUAAUUGUGUCAAAAAUUAAUUCAAAAGGUUUAUAGGAGUGAGAUGUUAUUCGUAUUUUUUGUUAUCUGGUUUUUUUAUAAAUUAUUUUAGAUAAUUGCUUAAAAUAAGUAAUUUUAAGUAAAUCAAUUAUUAGGGUUAAGCUUAUUAAUUUAUGUUUUAUAUAGAAUUUAAAAAGUUAAUAGUUAGGCUUUAUAGUUGCUAAUUGUGUAAUAACAAUUACAAAUAAAUUUUUAUUAAAUUAUUAUGGGGAUACAAAAUUAAAUAAUUAAUUUAUUUAAUAAUGAAAUUAUUAGUAGAAAAUUUUUAGUAAAUAUUUUUUUUAAAAAAAAUUAAAUUUUUUAACAAUUAAUAAUUUAAAUACCUUAAAAGAAUUAGGCAAAAAAGAUUCUCGUCUGUUUACCAAAAACAUUUCUUUAAGGAAUAUUUUAAAGUAAGUCCUGCUCCAUGAUUUAAAAGUUUAAUAGCCGCAGUAUAUUGACUGUGCAAAGGUAGCAUAAUCAUUUGGUUUUUAAUUGGGAUCUCGUAUGAAAGGAUUAACGGGGGGCAACUGUUUUUAAGGUUAGAAUUGAAAUUGAAUUCUUUGUAAAAAUGCAGAGAUUUUAUUAGGGGACGAUAAGACCCUAUAAAGCUUUAUUUUAUUUUUAGUUAGGUGAAUUAACUUACUUAAAUAAUUUUAUAAAAUUUUACUGGGGCGGUAGCUUAAAUUAAAACUAAGUACGUUAGCAUUAUUGAUCCAUUUUUAGUGAUAAUUUGAAUAAGUUACUUUAGGGAUAACAGCAUAAUUUAUUUAGGGAGUACAAAUCGAAGAAUAAGAUUAUGACCUCGAUGUUGAAUUAAAAUUUCUAUAAGGUGUAGAUGCUUUAUAAGUUAGUCUGUUCGACUAUUAAAUUUUUACAUGAUUUGAGUUCAAACCGGUGUGAGCCAGGUUGGUUUCUAUCUCUAGUAUAUACAUUUAUUUAUAUAGUACGAAAGGACCUAUAAGUAGAAAAGUUUUGUAAAAAUAAUAUUAUU
rnacentral:rRNA from 1 species